ACAAAAUUGUGUGGUCUGCAUGUAAUAUUCGUAACAGUGUUUUUUGUGAAACUGCCACAUGGUGGCGUAAUGCUCGAGCCAUGUGGUUCAUAUCUGAAAACUAGGUUUUCUUUUGCAGUAUGGUAUAUUCUUUUAUUUGCAGCGACGAGUUUAGGUGCAGUUGAGGUCUGGAACCUAUGAAUUUCAACGCAUGCUUAUUUAUUUUCACUGAAAUUGUUUUUUCAAGGAUAAUGGAGUGGUCCUGAUUUGUUGGCAAUUUAAAAUUUGUAUUUUAGCCCAGAUGAUAAUAAUCAAAAGCUUGAGGAUCCGGCAGCAAAAGAGGCUCUUUUGAAGGCUGCUGGAUCAUCUGCUGUGCUUCCACUGGCUGAUGAGAAGAAAGAAGAUGUAGUAGGAUGCAAGCAUCAAAGCAGUGAGGAUAUUGUUGAAGAAGUGGACCAGCAACCAUCUCUAGGGGCAAAGAUAAAGAAGUUUUUCCUUUCUUGAUUUUAUCACUAAGGCUCUGAAGUGUCAGCCAGUUAGAGACGUAGAGGAGGUUUUGGUUUUAGUUGGAUUAGUGGCUGAAUAGGGUUUGUUGUUGUGCCAGCUAUAUGUUGAUUUUUUGUAGCAGAAUGCAUCUGUAUGGAUUGGUGAUCUCAGCUAAAUAUUUUUGGGAAAAUGAAUGAGUUUCGACGUUA